rnacentral:rRNA from 1 species
GACCCUACGGGACGCAGCAGUGAGGAAUAUUGGUCAAUGGGCGAGAGCCUGAACCAGCCAAGUCGCGUGAAGGAUGACGGCCCUAUGGGUUGUAAACUUCUUUUGUCAGGGAGCAAUUGAGUCCACGUGUGGGCUUAGCGAGAGUACCUGAAGAAAAAGCAUCGGCUAACUCCGUGCCAGCAGCCGCGGUAAUACGGAGGAUGCGAGCGUUAUCCGGAUUUAUUGGGUUUAAAGGGUGCGUAGGCGGAAUAUCAAGUCAGCGGUAAAAAUUCGGGGCGCAAACCCGUCGUGCAGUUGAAACUGAA